UACGGAAGGGGGCUAGCGUUGCUCGGAAUCGACUGGCGUAAAGCGCACGUAGGCGGAUCUUUAAGUCAGGGGUGAAAUCCUGGAGCUCAACUCCAGAACUGCCUUUGAUACUGGGGAUCUCGAGUCCGGGAGAGGUGAGUGGAACUGCGAGUGUAGAGGUGAAAUUCGUAGAUAUUCGCAAGAACACCAGUGGCGAAGGCGGCUCACUGGCCCGGUACUGACGCUGAGGUGCGAAAGCGUGGGGAGCAA
rnacentral:rRNA from 1 species